rfam:Gorilla gorilla gorilla genomic chromosome, chr3, whole genome shotgun sequence
GCUGGGCAUGGUGGCUCACUCACGCUUGUAAUCCCAGCACUUUGGGAGGCUGAAGCAGGCAGAUCACGAGGUCAGGAGAUCAAGACCAUGCUUGUUAAUGCAGUGAAACCUCGUCUCUACUAAAAAUACAAANNNNNNNNNNUUUGUAUUUUUAGUAGAGACGAGGUUUCACUGCAUUAACAAGCAUGGUCUUGAUCUCCUGACCUCGUGAUCUGCCUGCUUCAG